ensembl:misc_RNA Metazoa_SRP Metazoan signal recognition particle RNA
GUCAAGCAUGCUGGUCUGUUCCUGUAGACCCAGCUACUCAGGAGGCUGAGGCAGGAGGAUCACUUGAGUCUAGGAGUUCUGGGCAAUCGUGCUCUGUGCUGAUUGGGUCUCCAUGUUAAAUUCUGAAUUAACAUGAUGACCUCCCACCUCCCAGGAGUAGGGGAGCACAGGUUGCCUAAAAAGGGGUGAACUGGCCCAGGUCAGAAAUGGAGCAGGUCAAAACUCCAGUGCUGAUCAGUAGUGGGACUGUGUCUGUGAGUAGCCACUGCACUCCAUCCUAGGCAACACAGUGAGACCCCAUCUCU